rnacentral:rRNA from 1 species
AAGUCGUAACAAGGUUUCCGUAGGUGAACCUGCGGAAGGAUCAUUAUUGAAUACAACUUGGUAUGGGUUGUUGCUGGCUUCUAAGAAGCAUGUGCACAUCCAUUCCAUUUUUUUAAACCUCCUGUGCACCUUGUGUAGACCUCUUGAACGAACAAAUUGUAUCAAAGAUUCUUUGAUGAGAUGGCAAUUGCUGUGCGGCUUAAAACUCCCUCAGCUCUUUAGCCUGUGGGUUCUAAAAAGAGGAUCUAUGUCAUUUAACUCCAAAAGAAUGUAUCAGAAUGUAGUCUCUGGGCCAUUUGUGCCCUUGAAAUACAAAUACAACUUUCAACAACGGAUCUCUUGGCUCUCGCAUCGAUGAAGAACGCAGCGAAAUGCGAUAAGUAAUGUGAAUUGCAGAAUUCAGUGAAUCAUCGAAUCUUUGAACGCAUCUUGCACUCCUUGGUAUUCCGAGGAGUAUGCCUGUUUGAGUGUCAUGAACAUUUCAACCUUUUUCUUUUGCUUGAAAGAGGCUUGGAUCUCUGGAGGGUUUGCUGAAGAAACAUCUAGUUCAUCCAGCUCCUCUGAAACAUAUUAGCAGAGUUUGCACCUGGUGAAAAAUCCCUUUGAUAUGAUAAUUAUCAGUGUCAUUGGAAUCUCCAGACUUUCUAAUUGAAAGGACUUUGCUUCCAAUCGUCUUACAAAGACACUUUGAACUUUUGACCUCAAAUCAGGUAGGACUACCCGCUGAACUUAA